CCUACGGGUGGCAGCAGUGGGGGAUAUUGCACAAUGGGGGAAACCCUGAUGCAGCGACGCCGCGUGUGGGAAGACGGUCCUCUGGAUUGUAAACCACUGUCCCCAGGGACGAAGAUGACGGUACCUGGGGAGGAAGCUCCGGCUAACUACGUGCCAGCAGCCGCGGUAAUACGUAGGGAGCAAGCGUUGUCCGGAAUUACUGGGUGUAAAGGGAGCGUAGGCGGGAUGGCAAGUUGGGUGUUAAAUCUACCGGCUCAACUGGUAGUCGCACUCAAAACUGCUAUUCUUGAGUGAAGGAGAGGCAGGCGGAAUUCCUGGUGUAGCGGUGAAAUGCGUAGAUAUUAGGAGGAACAUCAGUGGCGAAGGCGGCCUGCUGGGAUUUUACUGACGCUGAGGCUCGAAAGUGUGGGGAGCGAACAGGAUUAGAUACCCGGGUAGUC
rnacentral:rRNA from 1 species